rnacentral:rRNA from 1 species
UACGUAGGGUGCAAGCGUUGUCCGGAAUUAUUGGGCGUAAAGAGCUCGUAGGCGGCUUGUCGCGUCUGCCGUGAAAACCCAGGGCUCAACUCUGGGCGUGCGGUGGGUACGGGCAGGCUAGAGUGCGGUAGGGGAGAUUGGAAUUCCUGGUGUAGCGGUGGAAUGCGCAGAUAUCAGGAGGAACACCGAUGGCGAAGGCAGAUCUCUGGGCCGUAACUGACGCUGAGGAGCGAAAGCAUGGGGAGCGAAC